rnacentral:lncRNA from 1 species
AAGAUUUGAUUUAGGGUUUAGAUUUUAGUUAGGAUUUGAUUUAGGAUUUAGGAUUUAGUUUAGGAUUUGGUUAGGAUUUGAUUUAGAAUUAGGAUUUGAUUAUGGUUUGAUUUAGGAUUAUGAUUUGAUUAGGAUUUGAUUUAGGGUUUGGAGUUUGGUUAGGAUUUGGAGUUUAGUUAGGAUUUGGUUUAAGAUUUAGGAUUUGAUUUAGGGUUUGUUUGGAGUUUGGUUUAGGAUUUAGGAUUUAUUUAGGAUUUGGUUUAGAAUUUAAGAUUUGAUUAGGAUUUGAUUAGGAUUUUGUUAGGAUUUGAUUUAGGAAUUAGGAUUUUAUAAGGGUUUAUUUAGGAUUUAAGAUUUAAUUAAUUUUGGCCUAAAAAUUGAAUAAAAUCUAAUAGGAUUUUAACUAGGAUUAAAUUAAGAUUGAAUUGAGAUGUAUUUGACAGAUAUUUGAGAUCAUUCUAAUAUUU